GGCAUACAGAAGCACUUAGCAAAGUUAAAAUUACAAUUUGGAAGGGGUUUAAUAAUUUUAUCCCGACUCUCAACAACCUAGCCUUCAGGAGACUAGGGAAUGAAACGACAUGCCCCAUAUGUUAGAAUGGUUGCGAAACUCUUGAACAUGUGUUUUGGGAUUGUGUAACUGCAAAGGAAGAAUGGGGUAAGUUAGGAAUUUGGUGGCCGCAAAAUCUUUCAGUAGUCGAAUAUAGGGAAUGAAUGACAUACCUAUUAGAUAAUGGAACAUGUGGGUAGAAGAGCUUAAUAAUCGAGAUUAUUUGGGCAAUCUGGACGUCUAGGAAUCGGGUCCUACAUGAAAGACAUAAUCAACUGGCUCAAUAAAUAGUGGAAAUGGUGAAAAAAUAUACAAAAGAAUGGGGAGAGGUUAAAAAACGCUUAUCUAUUAGAAUUCCUGUACUAGAAGGAUAGGGACCAUCGGUGUCAGAUCUGAUCAGAAUAAAAUUUGAUGGAGCUUUUCAAAGGAGCACAAAUGAGUCGUGUACAAGACUGGUAGUGAGGAGGCCUGAUAGGACGGUGUUAGGCUUGAAAACAAUAAUCAACAAAUGUAUUUCAUCAAUGUUUGCGGUAAAAACGGUUGCAUGUCUCUAGGUGACACAAAUAGAAGUAGAUUUAGGAUUUCAAAGGGUUGAGAUUAAGGGAAAUGCUCUUGUAAUAAUAAUAAAAGACAAAUAUAAAUAGGAGAGAUGAAUCAGUGAUUAGUGCUUACAUCUAAGAUAUUAGAAAAUUGAAUGAAGUUUUCCGUACCUAUCGUUUCUCAUAUACUGAAAGAGGAAGAAAUGGGUUGGCUCACAUGCUAGCAACGGAGGGUAUGAAGAGGAAAAAACAAAUCUGUCUGGUAGGAGAAGUGUCCCCGUUUGCAAGGAGGAAAAUGGAGGAGGGAAUCUUAAUCAGCCGAUGAAGCAUUGGGGCAAAGAUGGGGCAUAAAAGGUACCUUAGGGAAAACAAUAGUGUAUUCUUUGAGAAGCUAAAAUGGAAAUGAUAGAGAUGAAGGCUUCGUUCUUUAUUGCAUCUGAGAUGGGCUUUUACAUGUAAAAGCACUUUUCUCUGAAAAGCAAUAAAGAACGAACUUCAUCUCUUGCAAAUUUCCAGCGUUUUUGAAGUGCUUUUGGGUAGAUGAAAAAGGAGAUUUUUUAAGCUUUUUCAGCCAAGAAGUGCUUUUGGGCUGGUCUUUUACUUUUUUAGCCACACAACACACAAACAACGUUGGUUCUUUGUUUUCAUCCAAAAU
rnacentral:lncRNA from 1 species